rnacentral:lncRNA from 1 species
GAUAUGCAUACAGACAAACAGACAUGAUAUACAGGAUGAUAUACUAAUUAUUGCAAACCUCCCAGGUGGCCCUCAGUGGAGAGGUGUUUAGUCAGAGCUGGCAGGUGGGCGCCAGCUGUUCGCCAGACCAAGUUUCCCUUGAAGUUCCUCCGAAUGGUCGAGCGCACCAUCUUUGUCGCAAGUUCCUUCUCCAUUACGGUUCCGCGGCCUUCCCCUGCCACGACUACGUAGACGUCCAGCCUUUCUACAAGACCUGCGUUAGCCACCUGUCACAGAUCCAGGAGCGAAGGGGCAGGUCCGGCCCAGCAGCGAGGAAGCCUGGCACGUCCUCCCGAAGAAAGCCUCGGCGAGUCCUUCCACGCAGACCCCCAGGCGCUGCCGAAGGUUCGUCUCGUCUCUCCCGGGUGCCCGAGCAACGCGCCCCUCGCCCGAAGAUCCUCAAUAACUUGCUCUUCCUCUACAACCAAGACUACGCCGAGGCCAACAGCGAGGAGAUGGAGGCGUCGUGCAACGUGUUGGCCGCGUACUCGAGCGUGUGUUCCAAGAGCGACGUGAACCUGUUGCCUCCCCGGCCCUGUGGUGAGUCUCCAACCUCCGGAAGGCGCUCUGGCGAGUCAAACAACCGUGGAUGAAGAGCAAACCAGCGCGCUUCGCCUGCAUGUUGCUUCCUGGUUGACGCGCUAGCGCUAAGUCGCUAUCGCUUAGCUUUUUGCCAUUUUUAUUGCUACUUUUCCUAACAUUAGUAUAAUGCUUCAGUCAGUCAGUCAUGGCUCGCCUGAUGGAUGAACAAUUAAUAAGACAAAUGUUACAAAUGUGUAUGCUAAAGCUGAUGUGCUAACCCCCUAAUGCCAAGGUCCAUGCAGACAACAGUGUAUAUGAAAAAGAUAAUAAAUCUGAAUUGUCAAUGGCUGUAGUAGCAAUAGAUAUACUAGUAAAUAAAAUGAUAACAUAAUA